AGCCUGUGCUCCGCAACGGGAAGAGGCCACAACAAUGAGAGGCCCACGUACUGCAAAAAAAAGAAGAAAAAAUCAGUGGUUUAAUUGAUUAAAUGAGCAUAGGGCUAGACACAUGGUUAUAACUCAGUAAAAAUAGAUUUUUUAAAACAGCUUACUUUAAAACAAAAUGGAUUUCAAAAAUUGAAAAACACUUGGUUAAAACAUUCUGUUUUUUUAAAAAAAUGUAUCCAGAGAGAUUAAGAUUUAGAACUUCUAAUUUAUAAGUUAAGACAUUUUAUUCACUUGACCUUUUAAGCAAAGUUUUAUAGGUAAGACACAAUAGGCCAUGGACUACGUUAGUAAUCUGAUAUUAAAGUGUUCUCAGAGAAUUUAUUUCUCUAUAAAUUAUUCAGUGGCGUAAAGAAAAUGGCUUUACUCAAUGGAGGGCUGUCAACUUGAAUAUCUUGUUAAGCUUUAUAUGUUUUUUUGAGGGGUAGUUGUUGGUUUAGGCAUUCUAAAUCAGAGUAUUGCUUAGAAACAAAAAAAUCGGGAAAGUUUGUGUUUCUUUGCAAGUCUGCCAUAUACACUGAGCUCAGAAGGUACAGUCUGGUAUUGGGAGGCAGACAUGAUCUUGGGCAGCGUGGACCAGAAGGCCAAGUCUUCCACUUGUGCCUCCACCACUUCGAGCUGUGUGCCCUGGAUGUCUUAUUUAUCUGUCACUUUAUCUUCUUUUGCAAAAUUGUCACAUGACAACGCUCCUGACCAUAUAGGUUUAUUGUGAGAACUGAAUGUUUUCAUUCAAACGUGAAUGAAACGUUUUAUUUAGCUUGCAAAAUGCUGUGCAAAUGUAAGAAGGGAGUGUUAGGUGUCAGAUUUUUUAGUUUGUUUUAGUGGAAUAGCGUACUCUAACUUCAGUCACAUUAGUUUAAAUAGUUCAAAGAAGUUUAAAGAGAAGGUUUAAGUGGUUUCGUUUAAAUAGUUUAAAGAAAAGGAAAAAUAUCUACUUUCACAAAUAACUAGUUAGACAUUUUAAAAUUUAAAUUUUCCGUUAAAAUUUUUACUUGCUGAAUAAAAAUCAGAAAACAGAGUUUUUGUGGGGGAGAGAGGGGAGGGCUUAAAUGAAUUAUCUAAUGUUUUCCAAAUAUUCCUUAUUAAAUAUUUGAACUAUAAAUUGUUAACCUCUUAGGAACAUUAUAAAUAUCAUAGCCAUACAUUUGCCCUUUAGAGUUUUAAAAAAUUGCUGUUUACAGGUUAGGAAACUGCUUCUCAGAGAGGUUAAUGACUUACUCAUGAUUGCCCCAAUAGUAAGUAGUAAGAAGAGACCUGGAGUUAAAAUCUAGGCUUUUUGAUUUGUUGUCUUACUGUCAAUAUCUGAAUUUGCAGUACAAAAUAACCAGGUUAUUCAGUUUUGGGCAUUGAUUUAGACUUAAUCUAAAAAUCGUUAAAGUAGUUUAGAAUGUAUUCUUACUCCCCAACGAAAUAUUAUCUUAAUUGUAUGUAAUAUAUAUCUUAAAAUAUCCUACAAAAAUGUGUUUGUAUAGCGCAAUAAUCAAAAUUUUCUUUAACUUAAAAAAAAUUUAGAUCCAUUGGAGUUACCACUAACAAAUUUGAUCUUGAAUCAAAUUCACCUUGAGUGUGAUAUGGGGGAAUCAGUGAAAUGCUCUGAGGGGUGGCAGUUGUGACUAAAUCCACAUUUCAGGAGAAAAAGGCAGUUUGUUUUGUUGGUCUGUACAUGCUGUGAAUCCUCAGCCCUGCAGCAGGGGUCCUCCAGGGACUAUGGCACACGCAGCCCAUCAGUGACAGCCAAACUGUUGUGAGGUGACAUCUGAAGGAGACAGAGUCCUUGCUGCCUGUUUAGCUCACUAACUUUAAGUGUAGAGAAUGGGCUUUGUGGUCCAAAUCCACUUAAUCCACAUUGAGAGGGAAAAGAGAAGGGAUUUGAUCCCAGUGCCUAGUACAGAAAGCAGUAAAAAUUUAGUCAUUAUUAAUGUUAACUAUUAGAGGCCUUCCAGUUUACCUUCAAAACAGAGGAAGUUGAUUUUCAUGUCUACACUUAGUCCGUCUUGCUGCUGUUUAAGCCUCUGGUUACAGAAGAGCAUCUCAACAGUAUUUCACAGAAUGGCCCAGUGCCGUCUGGUACCUGUGAAACUCUUGAGUGGACUUGGAUGCCACUUCCUUUGCAUGGUUCUGGUUGUUGUUUGGAGCCCACAGCAUCACUCUCCUUGAGCAAGUAGGCAGGCAGCAUUGUAUUGGUUAAGAUUGUGGGGUCCUGAAGUUCAGAGUUAGAAGCCUGCUUGUAAUGGUAUCUCUUAACCUUGGGCAAUUAACUUAGUCUCUUGGAGUCUUGUUUUCUUCAUUUGUAAUAUGAGGAUGAUAAUAUUUACCUUAUCAACAUGCUGUAAUGUACUAAGCACAGCAUUUGGCACCUGGUCAGCCCAGGUAGUGGUUCGUUAAGAUUGUGAUUUUUAUGAUUAAAUCAAAUAUUGUGUGAUUUUAAUCUUGAGAAUAAUUUUCUCUGAGUUAGGGAGCAAACUGAAUUUGUUGACUGGUGUCAUUAGGGUGCUUGUUUGUGAGAAGAGGAAGGAUGACCUUAGAUUGGAUGGCCGAAUGGAAGUUUGGGAGGCUGAGGAGAGUGAAUUGUUUGGCUUUCUAAAAAGACAGUCAAUGUCUGUUAUUUGAAAAUGCGUUUUGAUUGAAAACAUUGAGUUUGCCUGAUUGUGGAUUAAAUCCUUAUAUGUGACUGGACUGAGAAAAUUACUGAUAUUGGCACUCCAGUUUCUCUUACACAUUGAAACCUACUCUUUCUCUGCAAGUGCAGACUCCAUCUCUGUCUUUCAACUGAGGGAAAAACAAGAUCCUCUUUUGUUUUUUCUAGAAUCUAUCUUCACUUAUUGAAUUGGGUGGAAAGUUUGAGCAGUGAGUCAUUCCUCUUUGGGGGAUCACCUGAAUCUUCUUGCUGCAACGCCCUCAGAGCUGAAUUCUUAGUGGGAAAACACGUACAGCAUCCAUGUACUUAAAGGAUUGGUGCUUUCUGGACUAUUUGAGUAACUGAACAUUACAGAAAGAACUGAAAAACAAGCAAAAUCACUUAUCCCAAAGUGACUGGUUCUUCAAAUCCCUACUUCCCAAGUCUGAAUGAACUCUUAAGAAGAGAAUGUUUUCUCUGUGAGUGAGGGUCAAAGUGGCCUGAUACUUAAAGUGAGAAGAUGGAACAGAAUGAAGAGCAUGGAUCAGGGAGUCCAGAAAGCUGGCUUCUCGCCUUGCUAUUUUAUGAUUGUGAUACCCUGAGCAAGGUGGUUCCCUUGUCCGGCUUCAGUUUUUUCACCUGUAUGGUCAGGGGCUGUAGAUGAUCUCUAGGGUUAUGGGUUGGAAGUAGCUUUGUGCACCCUUCCUUAAGCGCAUAGACAGACAUUCUUGAAGCAUCCUUGGCCGCUUGUCAUUCCAUCUCUAUUUGGCUAUUUCAUUCAUUGGCUUGGCUUCUCUUCUAGAGAUUCAGAAUCCUUGAUUUUCAAGGCAGUUUUGAAGAACUUAAUGUUAGGUAGCUUUUCACGUUGGGUGGAUUCCUAGCCCUCCAGUAGUCGUAAUUCUAUCUUUUCCAUCUCUCACAUGACAUAUCUUCAGAUAUUGAACAAGAGUUAUGUUGAUUCUUCUCUGAGUUAUGCUGCCAAAGCUCUUUGUACCAUGCCUCUUUAAUGUAGUUUCAGACUCUUUGUAAUCAUGCUAGCUUUCCUGAAAUGUUCCCGUUUUUCAUUGCCACUUUUAAAAUGUGGUCCUCAGAAGAGCUUAUAAUACUUCAAAUAGGGUGUGACCAGCAUGGGGCGUGCUAAGAAGGUUUAAAAAUUGUGAUUUCAUUAGUAUAGCCCAAGUUGAUAUGUUUUUUGGGUUUAUUUUAUAGACAGCCAUGACCUGUUUGAAACAUGUAUGUAACUGAUCCUUGGUGUGUUGUUUUUCACGUGAAUUGCUCAUAGUAAGGCCUUAUGUUAUAGACGAGCAGCUUUUGUUUUUACAUCCAGUGUAGUACUUUAUCUUUCUUUUUGUGAGUCAUUUUGUAUCUGUGUCUUGUUCUGGACUGCUAAAUCCUUCUGAACUUUCCAUCUUCCCUGGUUAUUAGGGAUCCCCACAAGUCGUCUCCUCGUUCUAACUGAUCCUGCCUCUGAGUACAUCCCAAGUUUGUCUGCUGAUGAAAAUGUUGACCAGCCCAGCUCCAGGGGUGAAAGGAAAGAUUGCAAAAACAUCUCAGAAGUCUUAUGAAGAUGGGACAAAGUUUAAGGAAUAUCCUAUCAUUCUGUCACUCUUAAAAUAUUCUUUUAUGGAACAUGUACAUCCCAAGUUAUGGUAGCAAUUAGUAGCUCUUUCUGUGUUUGAGCUGCUUUUUAGUGUAAAGUAUUAGCAGUAAUAGAGCACACACUCUGUAGAGUUAAAUGAUCUUAUCUGUGAAGUUAGAAAAGAUGACUAUAUCAAUUGUAAGUACAGUUGAGAAUGAUUUUGAAGAUGUAUCUAUAAAUGCUUGACAUUUUAAUAUAAUUAUUAGUUUAAGUAGAACUUUUAAAACUACAAGGAAUUUGCCAUUAUAUCACUAUUAUCAUUGGAAUUUUGCUUUAGUUAUAUUUGGCUCCCAAUUAUAAAAGCUUUAUCAUUUGGAGCAUAAGCUUAAACUUUUGCAGCAUGGAUUUUAGGAGCAGUAUAGAGAUGAAUCUCCAGUGAUUCUAUUUUUUAUUACAGGAAAUGUUAUGUCCAGAAGCUGUCCAAAUGAAGGUGUUUUUAUUGAUUAACUUUCUACACAGAACAAGAUACUGUAUGAUUUCUAGAUUACAGUGCUCUAGGGGGUGCAUAUAGAAAUUGGAACUCUGAUAGGAUUCAGUUUUAUUAAAUACAUAAGGUUUUGCACCUUAAAGGUUAAGUAUCCAAUUGCACCCAACUAGGAAAUUCAAAGUUAUGAUUUUCACAGUAACUGUUAUGUUGUCCCUAUGGGCAGAUUUAGAAUUUGCAUUGUUGGGUGUAAUGUAUAGUUGAUUCUUACAUUUAAUGAAUGACAGAAAUUAACUUCAUUUUUCUAUGUACUUUAAUUUGGCAGUAUUCAUUGAUCAGUAAUAACUUGAACAUAUACCAUGUGAUACGCCCUGAGAUAUAGAAAUGAAGAAAUCAAACAAAAAACCCUGCUCUAUGUUGUACUCUUAGAUAAUAGGGGGGAUGCAGGAAUUUAACUCUGUGAUCCCAUGAUAAAAUUAAGGGAAUAAUUGUGCAUUGCACCAGGAAUGCUUACACAUGCUGCUUACAAAUGAUGUCACUUGCCAAGUUUACACAUCUGAUUUAGAGGAAACAAAGAUUUCAGACUUAAUUGAGGACACAUGUCUUUGGUAUCUUUCUUGCAGUAACUCUUUCUAGUCCUUGAAGACUAUCAUGAAACCAUCAAUAGGACUUAACUUUAAAAAACCUCUGGCUGAGGUAGCAAUUUAAGAUUGAGUGAUUAUUGACUGGGGCAUGGUUUUCAUAUUACCAAAAAUCUAACGGUUUUAAGGUUCAGACCUCUUUUGGGGCUGUUAAAGCUAUGAUAUUGUUCGUAAAAAUAAAAAUCUGAAAUAAAAAAUGGCGUGGGGUUUCCAAACUGUGUGCCAUGUGGUCAGUUCAGUUUUUCUUGACAUAGAGCAGGGAGCCAUUGUAAACAGGACCGUUCUAAUCCAUAUGCAGCUGGCAGCUUCAGUCUUUCACAGACUAACAAGUAAGACCACUAUGAGCUCUAUAGCUUCUUUAGUUUUCGCAUGGGUGCUUCAUCACAUGGAGGCCAGGGGAGGAGGAGCCAGGGAGAAGGAACACUUUGUCUUCAGACUUAGAAAGUACACUUGGAAAAGAAAAGAGAAUCUUUUGAAUAAAAUCAGAAGGGAAAACAUGCAUACAAACAAGAUUCUGGAAUCCUACAAAAUAAUAACAUACUCAAACUCUUUGCAUGGGAGUUUUUUGGCCAAUUUUUUUUGGCCAGUGUAAGAUUUUUGUCAUAAAAGGAAGCAGUUUUUAAUGCUUAGUUCUUAGUUUCUAAUCAUGUGAGCUUCGUGACAUUUAAACAGUAUUUUUGACAAUGAGAACAAUUAAAUUAUGUGGAAAUUUAGCCCCUAAAAUAUAUUUUCCAGUGUCUUUCCCUGGAUACUAUUAGCUGUAGUCUUGUCUACUAAGAGAUGAAUUAGGUGACCUCAUAAAGUCUCUUUAGUACCCAUCCUGGGAGAUGUUUAAAAAAUAUAUUUUAUAUAUACCACAGGACCCCUACCUCCUCAUUUCCUCUGUCAGUUGAAUUCUUAAAAUGAUUACAUUUUUUCUUGUUCCCUGUGACUAAAUUUUAUUUAUUUUCCAGUCUUUAGGCAAAGAAUGGCAUAAAUUAGGACAGGUAGAAAACCUCAAAGAGCUUCCUCCAUUCUCCUGAAGCUCAUAUUGUGUCCAUCUCCUGUAUGACUACCACCCACGAGGGGAAACUCCCAUCCCUGUUCUGCUCUCUUUUGUUCAUAUUUAUUGUUGGGCAGCAGACCUUAAGGUAGACAAGGGCGGGUGGGUUUUAAAGAGGAAACUCCUAUUUAAACUCCUGUUUUUAAGAGGAAGUUCACAUUCCUGAAACUCUUGCUGUUAUUUUCUCCCGGUAGCUGUCUCUUCUUUUUUUUCAGGGGAGACAUGGGAGAGAGAUAUUAAAUCCAAGAAAGCAGGGGGAUUUUCACCACCUCUUUUAUCCUCCUUCAUGGCCCUGCUCAUCUUUUCCUUUUCCAGACUGCUUCUUUACAAAUCAGACCUGGGGAGUUAUUUUCCCCACAAAAUAGAUUCUGCUAUCAGUUACUGUGCUUCAGGAAGUCUGGGGCUUGAGUCCUGAGAAUCUCUAUGUUUCUUGAGUUAUGCAGGUGCCUUUGAUGCCCAAUUAGAUUUGAGAACUGUUGGAUACCUGUGCACCGCAGAUACUUAAGGAGUUCUGAGUCCUAGGUCACAGGAGUCAAUACCAGUGGGGCUUAGAGCAUGGCAGAUAGGUCCACAGGUAUCAGGGGUUCGUGACCUGACAACCAAAGCUUCACAGAGUGAGAGUGCAGUUGAACUUAACUGAAGUCAGCCUGUUGUGGGGCCUGGUGUUUACAGUGCCCUGUUUAAAGUUUAUUAGAGAGGGGAGCUAUCAAGAUGGCAGAGGAAUAGGACGUGGAGCUCACCUCCUCCCACAAAUACAUCAGAAAUACAUCUACACAUGGAAAAAUUUGCACAGAACAUAUACUGAACACUGGCAGAAGAGCUCAGACUUCCAAAAGGGCAAGGAAACCUCCACGUAACUGCGUAGGACAAAAGAAAAAAG